AGCGAACGCUGGCGGCAAGCUUAACACAUGCAAGUCGAACGCCAGCAAUGGGAGUGGCGGACGGGUGUAUAACACGUGGGAAUCUACCUUUCAGUACGGAAUAACUCAGGGAAACUUGUGCUAAUACCGUAUAAUGUCUCCGGACCAAAGAUUUAUCGCUGAAAGAUGAGCCCGCGGCAGAUUAGCUAGUUGGUGGGGUAAUGGCCUACCAAGGCAACGAUCUGUAGCUGGUCUGAGAGGAUGAUCAGCCACACUGGGACUGAGACACGGCCCAGACUCCUACGGGAGGCAGCAGUGGGGAAUAUUGGACAAUGGGCGCAAGCCUGAUCCAGCUAUGCCGCGUGAAUGAUGAAGGCCUUCGGGUUGUAAAGUUCUUUUAGGUGGGAAGAUUAUGACGGUACCACCAGAAAAAGCUCCGGCUAACUUCGUGCCAGCAGCCGCGGUAA
rnacentral:rRNA from 1 species